rnacentral:rRNA from 1 species
CCUACGGGUGGCAGCAGUGAGGAAUAUUGGUCAAUGGACGAGAGUCUGAACCAGCCAAGUAGCGUGCAGGAUGACUGCCCUAUGGGUUGUAAACUUCUUUUAUAUGGGAAUAAAAUGUUUCACGUGUGGGAUUUUGUAUGUACCAUAUGAAUAAGGAUCGGCUAACUCCGUGCCAGCAGCCGCGGUAAUACGGAGGAUCCGAGCGUUAUCCGGAUUUAUUGGGUUUAAAGGGAGCGUAGGUGGAUUGUUAAGUGAGUUGUGAAAGUUUGCGGCUCAACCGUAAAAUUGCAGUUGAAACUGGCAGGCUUGAGUACAGGAGAGGUGGGCGGAAUUCGUGGUGUAGCGGUGAAAUGCUUAGAUAUCACGAAGAACUCCGAUUGCGAAGGCAGCUCACGGGACUGCAACUGACACUGAGGCUCGAAAGUGUGGGUAUCAAACAGGAUUAGAUACCCGGGUAGUC